CUCCUCCUCCUCCUCGUCCUUCUGAACUUCUUGUUCUUCAAACAAAACCUCCCAAUUUUAGGCUUAUCCAACAAUAAUGGAAGUCUACAUAUUACCUAGAACCUUUCACAGAUCUAUGACCUGCUUCAAGUUUGUAGACUCUCUUCCUUCCCCAGUAGGAGAGUAGAAGGAUGAGGAGAGUAGAAGGAUGAGCCAUUUGGCUUCCUCCAGGGCUUGCUUGAGUCCUGCCCGUGGCAUCCAGGAGGGACCCUCAGACCAGCAUCCUGGUCUGGUCUAGGUGGUAGCUCUCUGGGGAUGUUGAUGUUCCAAUUCUUACUCCCAAGCAGGGGUUGAGCUGGGGCAAAAUUGUAGGUUUGAUGAACUGGUGAAGACAUAAAGUUGGCAGAACAAGCCACUGGAGAGGUGAGCAAUGAACAUCCCUUCUUUCUCAUUCCAUGGCUUCAGCAUGGACACAGAUCUUAGCAGAAUAUUGAGAAGCCAGGAAGCAUUGGUAAUUAGAUCAUCCUUGGGAAGACUGCUGAGAGGUAGAUGGGAGGCAUGAGGCCCUAAGCUAGGGUCAACAAUUGUGCAGGAAGCCUCCAGAGGGGUUGGCAUACUUUGGGACUAUUUGUGUCCCAGAUGGAGAAGGGGAUUGUUUGCUUGCUUGUUUUUGGUUUUGUUUUUGAUGGUGUCUGUGUUUAGCACAUCCAGAAUUCCAUUGUCAGAAUAAAAGGUUCUUGCAGCCGUGGGUUCCUUGCGCUGACAGGAAAAUUAGCACAGCUGCUCUGCUUCGCUCCACCAAAAUCCCAUACCAUCCUUCUGACAUAAAGGCUGUGGUUUUAUUUACACAAUACUAAAUGAUUUAGCUGAACACAAGUAAGCUCUGGCCUGUUUCUAUAGGUCUGAUUUCUCCAGUGGAUUGUGCAUUUUACAUUCCCUCUCAUACCUCUUCUGGAAAGGAGGGAAAAAAUGAAGUACUGCAUUGGUGGUUGGUUGGCAUUUGUUUUAUGAAGGGAACAGGUUUGCUUUUCAAGAAUUCAAACCUUCCAAUCAUAUUCAAAAGACAGUACAGAACCCAUAAGUGCACAUGAAGUCUUAAGAAAAACAUAUUUUACUUUAUGACUCGGAGGAAAAUGACCUCAGCUUGGGCAGCUUCUAAACUGGAUCACAAUGAACUCAUUUUGAACGUGAUUCCCAGUAAUCUCAGAAAGAAUGAAAGAAAAAUCACGAAGCACAUUAGAGGUUGAAUACACAGUGAAUUCAGGAAUCCAUUUGUUUGCGGGGGGCGGGGGGGUGGAAACAAAAUAAACCCACUCUGUGUAACCCUCUGCUGGAAUCUGCUGGAAUGCCCUAUUCUUUGAGAAGUUGGUGGACAUUUUUUUCCCCCCAGAAAGUUGAUUUCUAGUGGACCAUCUUAUUGGACUCUCACCUAUUCAUGAGGACAGUGGAAAUUUCUCAUUGAUGGAGUCAUGUUCUUGCUCUUACUGAAAUAUUCAUGUUCUCUUUACAUACUGGGAUGGAUGUGGAGAGGACCUCGUCAGACCUUCUCCAUGUAUGAGGGCUGCUUUUGGCAGAGCAAAUAUUCCAAGUGAAAGGAUACAGAGAUGCUUACAUAGGUCAGGGAUGAUGAGGUCACAUUUAAAAUACUGAGCCAGGGCUCCCAUUACCAGUAAAAUUCUGAGGAGUAUGGGGAUUGGGGAAAGCAAGAAAAUGUUUCUUGGAGCCGGUAACCAAAAUUGUGAAAAAGUGGGCAUGGGUGCAGGUUCAGCAAAAAUAUUCUUGGGUUAAAAACAAUUACGCAAUAGAAAAACAUGGAAAGUGCUAAGUCAAUUUCCUGUACAAGUGACAUUAAAUACUCUCCUUAGCAACAAAAGCACGUGGGCAGGUUGACUAUAUUCACUGUGCUGAGAAGGGCCAGGGCUGGCCUUCUGGCGUGUCUCCG